rnacentral:rRNA from 1 species
UAGGGAAUAUUGGGCAAUGGGCGAAAGCCUGACCCAGCCAUGCCGCGUGAGUGAUGAAGGUCCUAGAGAUUGUAAAACUCUUUUCUGAGGAAAGAAUGAAUAGGGAAGGAAAUGUCCUUAUUUUGACGGUACCUCAGGAAUAAGGAACGGCUAACUCCGUGCCAGCAGCCGCGGUAAUACGGAGGUUCCAAGCGUUGUUCGGAAUUACUGGGCGUAAAGGGAGCGCAGGCGGAUAGGUCAGUCUAAAGUGGAAAUCCGGGGCUCAACCUCGGACUUGCUUCGGAUACUGCCUGUCUUGAGUUCGUGAUAGGAAGAUGGAAUUCAGGGUGUAGCGGUGAAAUGCACAGAUAUCCUGAGGAACACCGGUGGCGAAAGCGGUCUUCUGGCACGAAACUGACGCUGAGGCUCGAAAGCGCGGGUAGCAAACGGG